rnacentral:tRNA from 1 species
GCUCUCGUAGCAUAAUGGAUAAUGCAGCGGUCUUCUAAACCGACGAGUGCAGGUUCGAGUCCUGCCGAGAGCGCCA